rnacentral:rRNA from 1 species
GGCAGCAGUGAGGAAUAUUGGACAAUGGGCGGGAGCCUGAUCCAGCCAUUCCGCGUGCAGGAAGACUGCCCUAUGGGUUGUAAACUGCUUUUAUACGGGAAGAAACACCCCCUCGUGAGGGGGCUUGACGGUACCGUAAGAAUAAGGACCGGCUAACUCCGUGCCAGCAGCCGCGGUAAUACGGAGGGUCCGAGCGUUAUCCGGAAUCAUUGGGUUUAAAGGGUCCGUAGGCGGGCGGCUAAGUCAGUGGUGAAAGUCUGUGGCUCAACCAUAGAAUUGCCAUUGAUACUGGUCGUCUUGAAUCAAUGUGAAGUGGUUAGAAUGAGUAGUGUAGCGGUGAAAUGCAUAGAU